UGGCAUGUUAAUAUGAUUGAUAUUAUAACUUGUAAAGCAUGUUAAAUUGUAUAUUUUGUAUAUAUAGUAGUUAGGAUGUGCCGAGACCAGUUCAAAGAUCCUCUAUAAAAUUAUAUUAAGUUGUAAUAUCAAAAUUCAUUUACAAAUCAAAUAUCAAAUUCAUUUGAUCAAUUGGUAUCCAGGUAAGUAAGAAAGAUGAUUUUCUAAUUAGGCCCAUAUGCUAACCUGGCCAACUUUGUUGGUGUCUAAGAAAAGCUACAGAGAGCCUCCCACCUACUGAUCUGGCCAAUUUGGUCUUAUUGAGUUUCAGACU
rnacentral:lncRNA from 1 species